GGGGGGACCACUAAAAAGUUCUAUUUCUUGUAGUCACCAGGACACUAGGAAGAGCCUCUAAGCUGCUAGCCUUGUUCGGAGGAGGAGGAGGAGGAACCACCCUUAAGCUAUGAUAAGAGGAAGACGUGCAAGAGACGAUAACAGCUUUUGAGACAUAUUACUUACGUUUCCUUGAUGUGCUUCAGAUGUACAGAUGAAGAGCUGAUGCUUGGUGAGCAAUCAAGAGCAAUUGUCGUGUGCAGUGCCACCUGCUCAGUUUCAUUCACUUCUUCCUGCCCAAUCAAGCAAGAAGGGGGGAAACAGAGGCAGCUGAUGGUUAGUAGACAAGAACCGUUCCUUGAAAACCCCAGGACCUAUCCUGACCUUGUCUGAAGAAACCUAGAAGAAGGUUUUUCUUAGCCUUUACGUAUUCCAUACCAAGAGGGCCUA
rnacentral:lncRNA from 1 species